UUGAGGACCAUGGUGACUGUCAUCCCUUUAUCAACACCUCAGCCAACCAUCAGCCUUACCACCAAGUUACCCUGUGAGUCACUUGAUUCAUUUUAAACUCUCUUUUUAGAGUGGGUGAAGGUGGCACUUCUGUGGAGAGUGAGAGGCACCUGCUCAGAAGACAAGGACUGCCAGGAGCCUGGUCUGAACUACAAGGGACAAAGAAGGACCAGAAGUGAAUCCCUCAACAGGACUAGGGUAACUUGAUUAAGCUAGAUUCCUGGUACAGAGAAAACAUGAUUAAUAUUUUAGUUAACCUGUGAUGACAAGAAUCUUAUAUAACUAAAAGCCCAUAUGUGUAGUGGUUCUAGCACAAUUAACUUAGUAUCUGUAUAGUUUGACAAAAUAAUAAAACUCCAUAUUUCUUAGCUUCUAUCCUUACUGGAUAGUUUUCUUCUCAGCUCAAUUUUCCUUUUUUUAACCAAAGCUGUGGUCAUGGUUUCAUGUACUAUAUCCAGACAAAAGGACAUCCAAUGGAAAAUAAGGGACUGACCUGUAUGAAUUCUGUUAUGAGGAAGGAAAUCUUUCCUGGAAACACUCAGUCCUUAGAUUGCAUUUCUACUUAGUUCUUUCUGAACGUAUAGA